rnacentral:rRNA from 1 species
GCAACCUGCCCAAAAGAGGGGGAUAACACUUGGAAACAGGUGCUAAUACCGCAUAACCAUAGUUACCGCAUGGUAGCUAUGUAAAAGGUGGCUAUGCUACCGCUUUUGGAUGGGCCCGCGGCGCAUUAGCUAGUUGGUGGGGUAAAGGCUUACCAAGGCAAUGAUGCGUAGCCGAACUGAGAGGUUGAUCGGCCACAUUGGGACUGAGACACGGCCCAAACUCCUACGGGAGGCAGCAGUAGGGAAUCUUCCACAAUGGGCGAAAGCCUGAUGGAGCGACGCCGCGUGGGUGAAGAAGGUCUUCGGAUCGUAAAACCCUGUUGUUAGAGAAGAAAGUGCGUGAGAGUAACUGUUCACGUUUCGACGGUAUCUAACCAGAAAGCCACGGCUAACUACGUGCCAGCAGCCGCGGUAAUACGUAGGUGGCAAGCGUUAUCCGGAUUUAUUGGGCGUAAAGGGAACGCAGGCGGUCUUUUAAGUCUGAUGUGAAAGCCUUCAGCUUAACCGGAGUAGUGCAUUGGAAACUGGGAGACUUGAGUGCAGAAGAGGAGAGUGGAACUCCAUGUGUAGCGGUGAAAUGCGUAGAUAUAUGGAAGAACACCAGUGGCGAAAGCGGCUCUCUGGUCUGUAACUGACGCUGAGGUUCGAAAGCGUGGGUAGCAA